GACGAACGCUGGCGGCGUGCUUAACACAUGCAAGUCGAACGGAAAGGCCCUGCUUUUGUGGGGUGCUCGAGUGGCGAACGGGUGAGUAACACGUGAGUAACCUGCCCUUGACUUUGGGAUAACUUCAGGAAACUGGGGCUAAUACCGGAUAGGAGCUCCUGCUGCAUGGUGGGGGUUGGACAGUUUCGGCGGUUGGGGAUGGACUCGCGGCUUAUCAGCUUGUUGGUGGGGUAGUGGCUUACCAAGGCUUUGACGGGUAGCCGGCCUGAGAGGGUGACCGGCCACAUUGGGACUGAGAUGCGGCCCAGACUCCUACGGGAGGCAGCAGUGGGGAAUAUUGCACAAUGGGCGGAAGCCUGAUGCAGCAACGCCGCGUGCGGGAUGACGGCCUGCGGGUUGUAAACCGCUUUCGCCUGUGACGAAGCGUGAGUGACGGUAAUGGGUAAAGAAGCACCGGCUAACUACGUG
rnacentral:rRNA from 1 species